UUUUUUGAGACGGAGUCUUGCUCUGUCACCCAGGCUGGAGUGCAAUGGCAUGAUCUCGGCUCACUACAACCUCUGCCUCCUGGGUUCAAGCAAUUCUUGUGUCUCAGCCUCCCAAGUAGCUGGGAUCACAGACUCAUGCCACCAUGCCCGGCCAAAUUUUGUAUUUUCAGUAGAGAUGGGAUUUCACCACGUUAGCCAGGCUGGUCUUGAACUCCUGAUCUCAGGUGAUCUACCUGCCACGGCCUUCCAGAGUGCUGGGAUUACAGACAUGAGCCACUGCACCCGGCCGAACUUUUAUCUUGAAGUAGAUAGUGUCAACAAAUACAAAAAUAAAAAUAAUGUCUUUAAAUGAGGUGAUCAGGGAAGGCCUUCUCUGAAGGAAUUCAUAUAUUAAUGCCUAUACAGAAGUGGGGAGAAGGUUCAGGGUUGGAGGAAGAGUAGGACAAAC
rnacentral:lncRNA from 1 species